rnacentral:snoRNA from 1 species
UUAACAUGAUGAGUGUUUUUAAUCUAGAUAGGGACAACAGAAUUCAUAAAAAUGUGUUGAGAACAUCUAGGAAAUGCAGUUUUAGUAGAGCUUUUUUCGUUACCUGAUA